CCUUGGAGCAGAAACAGCAGGAUAGGUUGUAGUCUUACAUUUUCAGAGUUUUUACCUGCAUAUAGGGAGCAAAAACUGUGAGAGGGAUCUUGGAAUCCUAGUGGACAAGUGUGCUGCAGCUGCCAAAAAAGGAAGCACAGUCCUAGGCUGCAUUAACAGAGGGAUAGAAUCAAGAUCACGUGAAGUGUAAUAUUACUUUAUACUGCCCUGAUUUUGCUGCAUGUAAAUACUAUGAGAAUGAGAAGCAGUAAAACAAAACAAGCAAAGACAGUAUUUCAAGUCAUGGGAGCACAAUAAUUGGAUGUUGAAAUCCUUUUGGGCACUUCUGUAAUAUUUUAUAUUCAUUAAAUUCAAACUCAGGACUGAGAAAAA